GACAGCGGGCUAUUAGCACCCAGUUAUUGAAAUUACUUCCUUGCUUUUACCUCUAGGGGCCUUGCCCAUCUUGUUUACACCAGAUCCAAGAGUGCUCAAUAUUUGUUGAAUGAAUAUUCAAAGUUCCAGGAACACUUGAGGAGCUGCUGAAGAGUUUCAUGUUAAUUGCCUAUUCAUCCAGUUGCACAUCACAAAAAAGUGCGCUGGAGGACAACUUUCCAUCUGGAUCAAGUCUCCGAGUGAGCAGCAGCAGCAAGCAAGGGAAGGCGGACUAGUCUGGAUUACAGCAGGGCAAAAGGAGUCCAACCCCAUCUUGGGGCCAGUAGUCAUGACAAAGGAGCCCAGAGCCUUCGGACCCUCUUACCGUGACGAAGACAACAUUGUUGGGGAAGACUGAUGUGUCCGCUCCAUCCAAGGGCACUUGGGGUGCAGCAAUGGGACCCCGGCUGGCUGUCAGCGAGGCUGGGAAGCAGCUUCUCUUUCGGACGGUUACAGUCCCUUCCUCACUCUCUGCCCCUGGGUCCCCCUCAGAAGUCUGGGAUGGCAGACGCAGCUCCUCCGACAGGUAGUGUCGAAUAUUUUGGCGGGCCGAGUGGAUGAGCCGGGAAUCGAUAUCCAGGCCCACCAU